GNCAACGCCGCGGCCUCGGGAUCCUGUGCGGCGGUAUCUGGAUCAGGUUCUCCUUGCGGUGGAGAAGCGGAAGAGGAGGAAGAGAAGAAGCGGGAAAGGGUCCACGUCCACGGAAGAACGGGAGGAGGAGAGAGGGAAGAGGAGCAAAACCCUAUCCCUAACCCUAACCCUGAACCGGACCCUGACGCUAGCCCUACGGUGGAGUGUGGGAGAAGCGAGGGGAGAGGAGGGGAAGAGGAGGAGGAAAAGGAGGAAGAGGAUAGGUAGAGGAGUACCCUGGAGAGGGCGAGGCGAGAGGAGGAGGAGGAGGAGGAGGAGGAGGAGCGGGAACGAAGGAGAGAGGUGGCCAUUGUUGGAGGUGAUGUCCCAGCGAAGGUGAAGUAUUAUUACUUAUUAUUAUUAGGGUGGCGCCAUGAACGAGGAAGAGGAGAGAGGAGAAGCGGAAUUACUCUCGUCUUGGUCGAGGAGGAUCGAG
rnacentral:lncRNA from 1 species